rnacentral:rRNA from 1 species
GAUGAACGCUGGCGGCGUGCCUAAUACAUGCAAGUCGAGCGAACAGACGAGGAGCUUGCUCCUCUGACGUUAGCGGCGGACGGGUGAGUAACACGUGUAUAACCUACCUAUAAGACUGGGAUAACUUCGGGAAACCGGAGCUAAUACCGUAUAACAUCCUGCACCGCAUGGUUCAACAGUGAAAUACGGCCUUUCUGUCACUUAUAGAUGGAUCCGCGCCGCAUUAGCUAGUUGUUAAGGUAACGGCUUACCAAGGCAACGAUGCGUAGCCGACCUGAGAGGGUGAUAGCCCACACUGGAACUGAGACACGGUCCAGACGCCUACGGGAGGCAGCAGUAGGGAAUCGUCCGCAAUGGGCGAAAGCAUGACGGAGCAGCGCCAAGUGAGUGAAGAAGGUCUUCGGAGCGUAAAACUCUGUUAUUAGGGAAGAACAAAUGUGUAAGUAACUAUGCACGUCUUGACGGUAACUAGUCAGGAAGCCACGGCUAACUACGUG